CAUUUAGAUCUCCGUAAGAGUGUCGAUCAAUAUAAACAGCAGGACGGUGGCCACAGAAGUCAAAAUGCGCAGAGGUGUCUUUAAUAACUUACUUGCCGGCUGGACCGGCCCCGAAAAUGAAUGGUGCUGGG
rnacentral:ncRNA from 1 species